UGGGGAAUAUUGCACAAUGGGCGCAAGCCUGAUGCAGCGACGCCGCGUGAGGGAUGGAGGCCUUCGGGUUAUAAACCUCUUUCGCCAGUGAAGCAGGCCAUCUUCUUUGUGGGGUGGUUGACGGUAGCUGGAUAAGAAGCGCCGGCUAACUACGUGCCAGCAGCCGCGGUAAUACGUAGGGCGCGAGCGUUGUCCGGAAUUAUUGGGCGUAAAGAGCUCGUAGGCGGCUGGUCGCGUCUGUCGUGAAAUCCCCUGGCUUAACUGGGGGCUUGCGGUGGGUACGGGCCGGCUUGAGUGCGGUAGGGGAGACUGGAAUUCCUGGUGUAGCGGUGGAAUGCGCAGAUAUCAGGAGGAACACCGGUGGCGAAGGCGGGUCUCUGGGCCGUUACUGACGCUGAGGAGCGAAAGCGUGGGGAGCGAACAGG
rnacentral:rRNA from 1 species